rnacentral:rRNA from 1 species
UACAGAUGGUGCGAGCGUUGUCCGGAAUCACUGGGCGUAAAGGGCGCGUAGGUGGCGCGACAAGUCAGUGGUGAAAGCUCGACGCUCAACGUCGAGUCGGCCACUGAUACUGUUGGGCUUGAGCACUGUAGAGGCUAAUGGAAUUCCGGGUGUAGCGGUGGAAUGCGUAGAGAUCCGGAAGAACACCGGUGGCGAAGGCGGUUAGCUGGGCAGUUGCUGACACUGAGGCGCGACAGCGUGGGGAGCAAACAGG